rnacentral:lncRNA from 1 species
ACAAGUAAAACAUAAACAUUUAAAAUGAAAGAUAUUACCCCCUUUAACCAAUCCACCUGGAAUUAAGUAGGUUGACUUGAAAUACAGUCAAAUGUCCAAGAACGGAUCAAUUAAGGUUUGCCUCAAAACUAUUAGGCCAAACUACAAUGGCUGGAAAGUAUUGGGCCGCGACUGAAAAGAUUAAGGAGUUACCAACUGCAAAGACAGAAUAUGAUAGUUUAGGUACUAAUCUAGAAUAUGGAAGUCAAGGGAUUAAACUGGAUAUUUACCAAUUGCAAUAUGAAUCAAAUCUCCAGUUGCGUUCCUAGAAUCCGGCAAACACGAACUCGGCUCCGGCGAGCCUUGAAUCACCAUUGAAACUCUACCAAACUGAGAUUGAAAGUCACGUAAGUUUCAUCUUGAUGAUACGAAGUCAAUCGAGGAUUUAGAGGUCCUGGGUUGGUCUGGAACUCGUAGACGCAACAUAACAUCGGGGAAGAAAACGAAGGAGAAGGGCAAUGGGUUUAGGUCUGCUCCAGUUCUAUACUGCCUCGUAAUGGUUUUAAAUAGCCAUACGAUGACCUCAG